UGCCAGCAGCCGCGGUAAUACGAAGGUCCCAACCGUCGUUCGGAAUCACUGGGCGUAAAGCGUGCGUAGGCGGCACGGUAAGUCAGGUGUGAAAGCCCGGGGCUCAACCCCGGAACUGCAUCCGAUACUACCGAGCUAGAGUAGUGGAGGGGAGUCUGGAAUUCACGGUGUAGCAGUGAAAUGCGUAGAUAUCGUGAGGAACACUAGUGGCGAAGGCGAGACUCUGGACCGAUACUGACGCUGAGACGCGAAAGCGUGGGGAGCAAACAGGAUUAGAUA
rnacentral:rRNA from 1 species